UUGCUGCUGUUGCUGCUGCUGCUGCUGCUGCUCCGUGUCGCUGUUCCUCUAACGAAAGAGAAAAAAACGAAAUAAAACAGCGCGUGCAAAGAGAGACGAUCAAGAUGGCGAAGAAGGAAGAACGUAACGAUGGAAUUCAAGCCUUCGAGAGAGGAAGUCUCUCGAGCGAGACGUGAAGUGGACCGUCUUCGGUACUGAUCGCUCGGAACCACUCUGACAACUCUUAUCACGGACACACUGACAACCACACUCUCGCUCGCAGCUCCACGAUCGUUCCGGAAUUCUCUCCAAAUGUUGCUGCCACCGGGCUAUCUUAAUUAACCUUUUAUAGCUGUUAAUAAAUUACCUUACCUAUUCGUUUAA
rnacentral:lncRNA from 1 species